UUUUUAUGUUGCUUGAAGGAAAUCUUUCCCAGUAACAGAACAAGUCAAAAAGGUUCCUAUGAAUGGUACAAAGGAGGAAUCUACUGAAAGCUCUGAGAGGCGUAGGGGAAAAUAUGGAUUUCAAGUUAAUUCCAAAGUUGGCAGAAAUGUGGCUUCCCGG